AUCAGAAACUAUAGCCGGGUAAAAGAAGUAAUUUUGGCCCGAUAUGCUAUUACCCCCAGAAGCGUACCGGAGACACUUUAGGGAAUUGAAAAAGGCAGACAAAGAUUCGCAUGCAGAAUGGGCCUGCCGAUUGCAACGGGCAGCCCUUGGAUGGGUGCAAGCGAACCAGGCACGGUCCAUGGAGGACCUAUUAUAAAUGCUGCUACUGGAACAAUUUUACGAUGGGAUACCCGCAGACCUGCAGGAGUGGGUGAGGGAUCGUAACCCCACUUCUAUUAC